UACGAAGGGGGCUAGCGUUGUUCGGAAUCACUGGGCGUAAAGCGCACGUAGGCGGACUUGUUAGUCAGGGGUGAAAUCCCGGGGCUCAACCCCGGAACUGCCUCUGAAACUGCAAGUCUUGAGUCCGAGAGAGGUGAGUGGAAUUCCUAGUGUAGAGGUGAAAUUCGUAGAUAUUAGGAAGAACACCAGUGGCGAAGGCGGCUCACUGGCUCGGUACUGACGCUGAGGUGCGAAAGCGUGGGGAGCAAACAGG
rnacentral:rRNA from 2 species